rnacentral:ncRNA from 1 species
GGGAGCGGUAUGAGUCGAGAGGCUCACGUACCGUUCUGCGAGAGGCUGCGGGGGUAGUUCCCGUGGCCUACUUACC